GACGAACGCUGGCGGCGCGCCUAACACAUGCAAGUCGAACGAGCGAAAGAGAGCUUGCUUUCUUGAGCGAGUGGCGAACGGGUGAGUAACGCGUGAGGAACCUGCCUCAAAGAGGGGGACAACAGUUGGAAACGACUGCUAAUACCGCAUAAGCCCACGAUCCGGCAUCGGGUUGAGGGAAAAGGAGCAAUCCGCUUUGAGAUGGCCUCGCGUCCGAUUAGCUAGUUGGUGAGGUAACGGCCCACCAAGGCGACGAUCGGUAGCCGGACUGAGAGGUUGAACGGCCACAUUGGGACUGAGACACGGCCCAGACUCCUACGGGAGGCAGCAGUGGGGAAUAUUGCACAAUGGGGGAAACCCUGAUGCAGCGACGCCGCGUGGAGGAAGAAGGUCUUCGGAUUGUAAACUCCUGUUGUUGAGGAAGAUGAUGACGGUACUCAACAAGGAAGUGACGGCUAACUACGUGCCAGCAGCCGCGGUAAAACGUAGGUCACAAGCGUUGUCCGGAAUUACUGGGUGUAAAGGGAGCGCAGGCGGGAAAGCAAGUUGGAAGUGAAAUCCAUGGGCUCAACCCAUGAACUGCUUUCAAAACUGUUUUUCUUGAGUAGUGCAGAGGUAGGCGGAAUUCCCGGUGUAGCGGUGGAAUGCGUAGAUAUCGGGAGGAACACCAGUGGCGAAGGCGGCCUACUGGGCACCAACUGACGCUGAGGCUCGAAAGUGUGGGUAGCAAACAGG
rnacentral:rRNA from 1 species